ACGCAUCCUUUGCUGAGGAUACGGUUAACGGAGCGAAAGCGACGUUCAACCUCAAAAGAAGCAGAGGGGGCUUAGUGGUGGGGUGACUGCGUACCUUUUGUAUAAUGGGUCAGCGACUUAUAUUCUGUAGCAAGGUUAACCGAAUAGGGGAGCCGGAGGGAAACCGAGUCUUAAUUGGGCGUUAAGUUGCAGGGUAUAGACCCGAAACCCGGUGAUCUAGCCAUGGGCAGGUUGAAGGUUGGGUAACACUAACUGGAGGACCGAACCGACUAAUGUUGAAAAAUUAGCGGAUGACCUGUGGCUGGGGGUGAAAGGCCAAUCAAACCGGGAGAUAGCUGGUUCUCCCCGAAAGCUAUUUAGGUAGCGCCUCGUGAAUUCAUCUCCGGGGGUAGAGCACUGUUUCGGCUAGGGGGCCAUCCCGGCUUACCAACCCGAUGCAAACUGCGAAUACCGGAGAAUGUUAUCACGGGAGACACACGGCGGGUGCUAACGUCCGUCGUGAAGAGGGAAACAACCCAGACCGCCAGCUAAGGUCCCAAAGUCAUGGUUAAGUGGGAAACGAUGUGGGAAGGCCCAGACAGCCAGGAUGUUGGCUUAGAAGCAGCCAUCAUUUAAAGAAAGCGUAAUAGCUCACUGGUCGAGUCGGCCUGCGCGGAAGAUGUAACGGGGCUAAACCAU
rnacentral:rRNA from 1 species